CGGUUUUAGCGGUAGGGAAACACCCGGUCUCAUUCCGAACCCGGUAGUUAAGCUUGCCAGCGCCGAUGGUACUGCCACCGUGGGGUGGUGGGAGAGUAGGACGCCGCCGGAC
rnacentral:rRNA from 1 species